UGGUCAUUACUAAGGCUUUUAGAAUGCAAUUUCUCAUUUGCCAUGAAGAUGACUACAAAACAUUUUCCCAAUAGGUUUUCUUUCUGCUAUAUUGGUAGCAUUGCUAUGUUUAGCCUUUUGGGAAUACUU
rnacentral:snoRNA from 1 species